UAAUAACAGUUUAUAUCGAUACCCGAAGAACGUUACAAUGAGUACAGACUAAAUUCAGAUUUCAUAAAAGAAUACAUAUUCCCAGGUGGAUGCCUUCCUUCUUUAGCCAGAGUUACUUCAGCCAUGUCCUCUUCUUCUAGGCUAUGCAUUGAAAAUGUUGAGAACAUUGGGAUUCAUUACUACCAAACGCUGAGAUUGUGGAGGAAGAAUUUCUUGGAGAGACAAAAACAAAUCAUCGAUCUUGGAUUCGACGAUAAAUUCAUUAGGAUAUGGGAAUAUUAUUUCGACUAUUGUGCAGCUGGUUUCAAGACUCUUAC